GUGACUCAGACGGGAGUGGGGUUUGUGAGUGGGCUCCAGCCACACACGACUUCGUGCCUGUGACGUUGGCUCCUCCAUCCGCCUCUUUCCUGGAGUGCAGCCUGAGUCACAGCUCGAAACUUCUCCCACCUUCUCCGGGUGGAGGGGGCUUCCCCAGUCUUGGGGUGCGCACCUCAGGCAACGACCCAUCCCUCACUCCCCUGUGCUGGGACUGCAUGGGAAGCUGGACUACACUCCUCAGCCUCCCUUGAAGUUGCAGUGAACUUAUGAUGGUUUGUUCUAACCACCGUAAUAUCAACUGACGUUUAUCUACAAGGAUUUUUAUCAGGGUUGUUUGAAACCAGGGGUCAGCAAAAUUGUUUCGUGACCAGUCAAGUAACUAAAUCAGAAUAGAAAAUAUAAGAAUGCAUCAGGUGGUAAAGGUAAGUGUUUUUUAAAAAAUAAAAUACAAUAUAGAUGAUUAUGCUGCCUCAUGCUUACUCUGGUUCUAUAACAGCCACUGAAAUUCAGUGAAUUAGUCCUUCAGGUACUGGGCUGUGGGUUUGGGAUUUUGAUUUUUUUAAAUCAUGCCUGUUGAGAUGACCUACAGUUAGCCCACCUCUUUCUAGUCUUAUUGGCCAUGCCAGGAGCCUGUUAAACUAAGUCUGUCUCUACUUGCCCAGAUCACACCACUCCCAAUGACUUGUUGGUACAACCACCACCAUGUUCUGCAUGCAGCCUGUACACACACCAGCUUGCCAGCUGGGAUGCUACCCCCUUUCACUCGAGGGCCCUGUUGCCUUGAGUUGAGAGAUUCCACAGGGCUCUGUUGGAAAACCUUCCUGCCAACAUUUCAAAUGGGACCAUCUUUUUCUUGUAUGAAUUGUGAGCCAUUUUUUUUUUUCUUACUGACCACUUUUCCUCCUUCCAUUCAGGGAGGAGGCUUCAUUCCUCCCAGAUACUCUCCGAUUUUUCUGUCUACUGCAGGCAUUGCUCUCUGUCUCAGGGAUCUUAAUUUUCUGUUUCUUUGGUCAUUUCAAUGCAGUUUUGGGAAGAGUAAGGUAAUGAUAUGGUUUGGCUCUGUGUCCCCACUCAAAUCUCAUUUUGAAUUGUACUCCCAUAAUUCCCACAUAUUGUGGAAGCGACCUGGUGGGUGAUAAUUGAAUCAAGGGGGUGGUUCGCCCAUACCAUUCUCGUGGCAGUGAAUAAGUCUCAUGAGAUCUGAUGAUUUUCCUCAUUCUCUCUUUGCCUGCUGCCAUCCAUGUAAGGCGUGACUUGCUUCUCCUUGCCUUCCACCACGAUUGUGAGGCUUCCCCAGCCACAUUGAACUGUCAAAGAGUCUUAUGAAAGCUGAGGAUAGAAGCUCACUGCCAUUUAAACCACGGGAAGAGGGGAAGAAGAAAAUCAGCAAGGGGUUAGAGAGGUCUGUUUGUGGAAGAGGCCAGGCUCAGCCCUGCCUGGGGCCUCAGUCUCCUGAUGGGGCAAGGACAAAAGGGGAAAGUGUGAACAUGUAAUAUGCCUUUCCUGUGUGGGAGUCCUUACGACAUGGUUUGCAUCAGAGGCUUCAUUCAUUCAUCCCAAAGACACUAAAGGGUACAUGCUGCCAUAUCCAUUGCAGAGAUGAGAAAACAGGCAAAGAGGGUGUGAAGUGGCUUGCCCUUCCACCAACAGCUCAUUUCAGAGCUAGGAGAAAGACAUUGGGGGCAGACAACCUCAAAGUUUUCUUCCAUCCUGAAAGGUUGGUUCAAGGAAAAUGUAGUAGAAUGAAUAAUGCCCUUCCCGCCACGACCACCACCAAAGAUAUGUCCUGGUCCCCAGACCCUGUGAAUAUGUUACCUUAUACGGCGAAAGAGAUUUUGCAGAUGUGAUUCUGUUAAGGAUUUUGAGACGGGGAGAUUAUCUUGUAUUAUCAGGGUGACCCCAGUAUACUCACAAGGAUACUUAAAAGUAAAAGGAAGUAGAAGAGUUCAUCAGAGGAAGAUGUGACUGCAGAAAAAAGGCACAGAGAUGCAUUGCUGCUGCCUUUGAAGAUGGAGGAAGGGGCCACAAGCCAAGGAAUGCAGCCAACCUUUAGAAUCUGGAAACUGAUUUCCCCUAGAGCCUCCAGAAGGAUCACCACAGCCUUCCCAAGGCUUCCGUUUUAGCCCAGUGGGACACAUGUCAGACUUUCAACGUGUCAGAACUGUGAGAUAAUAAAUUUGGGUUAUAUUGAGC
rnacentral:lncRNA from 1 species